GAUGAACGCUGGCGGCGUGCCUAAUACAUGCAAGUCGAGCGAACAGAUGAGGAGCUUGCUCCUCUGACGUUAGCGGCGGACGGGUGAGUAACACGUGGAUAACCUACCUAUAAGACUGGGAUAACUUCGGGAAACCGGAGCUAAUACCGGAUAAUAUAUUGAACCGCAUGGUUCAAUAGUGAAAGACGGUUUUGCUGUCACUUAUAGAUGGAUCCGCGCCGCAUUAGCUAGUUGGUAAGGUAACGGCUUACCAAGGCAACGAUGCGUAGCCGACCUGAGAGGGUGAUCGGCCACACUGGAACUGAGACACGGUCCAGACUCCUAUGGGAGGCAGCAGUAGGGAAUCUUCCGCAAUGGGCGAAAGCCUGACGGAGCAACGCCGCGUGAGUGAUGAAGGUCUUCGGAUCGUAAAACUCUGUUAUUAGGGAAGAACAAAUGUGUAAGUAACUAUGCACGUCUUGACGGUACCUAAUCAGAAAGCCACGGCUAACUACGUG
rnacentral:rRNA from 1 species